rnacentral:rRNA from 1 species
UACGUAGGGUGCAAGCGUUAAUCGGAAUUACUGGGCGUAAAGCGUGCGCAGGCGGCUUUGCAAGACAGAUGUGAAAUCCCCGGGCUUAACCUGGGAACUGCAUUUGUGACUGCAUGGCUGGAGUGCGGCAGAGGGGGAUGGAAUUCCGCGUGUAGCAGUGAAAUGCGUAGAUAUGCGGAGGAACACCGAUGGCGAAGGCAGCCCCCUGGGCCGACAUUGACGCUCAGGCACGAAAGCGUGGGGAUCAAACAGG